GAAAAGGAAGUGCUAAUUUGUGUUCUAUUUACAUCAGUUGUUUGAAUUUCCAAGCAUUAUUAGAAGAAAUGUACAAUGAACCCACCCAAAGGGGAAGCAAAGGGACAAUAAAUAACUCACAAGUUGAUUUGAGAAGGAUUCUUGUGUGAAUGAUGAUGUAG